ensembl:lincRNA Gm15668 predicted gene 15668
AAGCAGCACCUCUCCAUGGUUUCACAUCAGCUCCUGCCUCCAGGAUUUCUGAUAUGUGAUCCAGUGAAUGGAUUGUUCCACCCCAAAGGGAUUGAGACCCACAGUUUGAAAACUGUUAAUCUAAAUGAAGAUGACUAGCUGGCAUCUGCAUAGAGCAGAAAAGGUACAGUCAUUAUCCCCCUCCUGGUCUACCCUCUUCUUCAUAUCCUGAGGGUCCAAGUAUGGCAGAUAAUCAGACAGCCACAUGAUUUCAGUGGAUUCCAGGAAGCUGCCUUGCUGAUUGUGCACGUCUUUCCCUUUGGAAAAUGUGAUAGAGACACUGUGGGUUUUGUCACAGGAGGAAACAGAUGUUGGAAGUUUUCUUCAGAGAAGAAAAUAAGCACAAGGUUUUGAUUGACAGUCCUGGACAGCAAGGAUGUAAUCCAUGCUGGAGCAAAUCCAAACCAAACAGAGUGGUCACUUUGAAGUACAGCAUAUUGUCUAUGAAGCAUACUGUAAGAGUUCAAGCUACCAAGCAUGUAUCCCUGCAUUCUGUUCAUAAAGGUCCUCUUGAGUAUAAUUUUCUAUUAGUACCAAUCAGCUUUACAACUUCAUCUUUGGUAAGAAUGUCAGACACAAACUUCUGUGCUCUUAGGAACAUGAAACCAGCCAUAAGUCAUGACUCCAUUGAUUCUGGG